GUUUUGUUCAGCGCUACCAAGAGCGCGGCAACCGAGAAAACACGGAGUCGCCCCUAGUGGCGAAAGUGCGGAUGCGAAACCGCUGGCUCGGCGUAAGAGCAGAGCCGCGGAAGAGAACCCUAGCGGCGGGGAACUAGCUCGCCUUCAGUGCUCACGGGAGAAGGCAAGUUAGAAAGAACCUGAGACGUGACACUGAAAAUCAGUAGAAGAAAUACGCCACAUUUAUUCUACCGGGGAAGACAGUGGGAAACCUGAAACUGCCAUUGAGCAGAAGGAAAACAUCCCUUUCCAGAACCUUUCUCGUUUUUCUAAAAAUCUGCACUUUUGGAAGUGAUCCCCCAAAGAGACCUCCAGACUCUACCAUGAGUGUCUCCAGCUGAACUCAUCGUGUCUAAUCCUCACCCUAGCUUAUCCUGUUCAAAUCAUUUCCAUCUUUUUCUGGAUGAACCUGGGCGGAUGUCAGACCAGAGAAGAGCACAGAAUGUACCAGAGAGGACAACAACUCGGGAUCCACCUAACACGGGUACAAAGAAGGCUGUAACACGGGAAGCAGCUGUUGGGCCAAACCAGCCCUGGAGCUGUAGGCCAGAGCAAGACCACAGGACUGACAGAGCUGUUAACACGCUGACAUCUUUCGGGCUGCAGAGGGCGGGACUGAAAGAGCUAUUAGCAUGUUGUAACACCCACUCUGGGGCUUUGGGGUCACGGGCAUCCCUGUUUGGGUGCCAUCACAUUCCCCUCAUCUGGAUGCCAGAGUCCACCAUAGGAGUCACUUGCAACAUGCCUGGUCCAGCCACAAGUCCCACACAGAGCCUGCUCCUGUGCUGGUGCUUGGAGCUACCAGUGGAACCCCACACUCACUAGCUCACACACCCCUCCUGCCAGGGGCUGAGUGCACAGUCAUGGUGGCCACAGGAUCUGCACCAGAGGACAUGCCAGGCACAGCCCAGCAAACCGAGUAGAUGGGGCAUCUCCUGUGGUUAGCCUGGGCUCCAGCAAGGCCUAGGUAGGGCAUCGCCAGCCAGAGGUCUCUGGCUGGCAAAGUUGCUGAGAAACAUCCUAUGUCAUUAAGGAGAUGGGGAGGGGCAGAGGGGCACUUAUGGAAAUAUGAAUGAUUUUUUUUUUUGAGACAGAGUCUCUCUCUGUCGCCCAGGCUGGAAUGCAGUGGCGUGAUCUUGGCUCACUGCAAGCUCUGCCUCCGGGGUUCAUGCCAUUCUCCUGCCUCAGCCUCCCGAGUAGCUGGGACUACAGGUGCCCGCAACCACACCCAGCUAAUUUUUUGUAUUUUCAAUAGAGACAGGGUUUCACUGUGUUAGCCAGGAUGGUCUCGAUCUCCUGAACUCGUGAUCCAUCCUCCUCAGCCUCCCAAGGUGCUGGCAUUACUGGCAUGAGCCACUGCACCAGCCACAAAUGAUAUUUUAGAAGAUAAAUGGUCCUUUAGAAGAAUAGAUAAAAGAUAUGACAGUUUUUAGAGAAUGUCUUUUUUUGGGUAGGGUGGGUGUAAUCACCCAAUGGUUUCAUCUUGCCCAUUGUCCACAAAGGCCAAUGCACUGAGAACAGCAGCUUUUUUGCAGCAAAGAAAGACUUCAAUAAUUGCAGGGCUGGCCAAGUGGAAGGACAGGAAUUCAUUCCCAAAUCCACCUCCCUGAGAAUUCUUUUUUUUUUUUUUUUUUUUUUUUUUUGAGACGGAGUUUCACUCGUACUGCUGCCCAGGCUAUAUAGUGCAAUGGCACCAUCUUGGCUCACCACAACCUCCGCCUCCCAGGUUCAAGCGAUUCUCCUGCCUCAGCCUCCCGAGUAGCUUGGAUUACAGGCAUGCACCGCCACGCCCAGCUAAUUUUGUAUUUUUAGUAAAGAUGGAGUUUCUCCAUGUUGGUCGGGCUGGUCUCAAACUCCCGACCUCAGGUGAUCCUCCCGCCUCGGCCUCCCAAAGUGCUGGGAUUACAGGCAUGAGCCAUGGCACCCGGCCAGGCUGAGAAUUCUUAAGACAGGAUUUUUUAAGGAUAGUUUGGUAAGCAUGGGGCUAGGGGAUGGGUUGAUGUGUUGGGUACUAUGGGGAACGUGGAAGUGGAGAAUAGUGUGGACUUUUGAAAGGAUGUCUGCCUAGGAGUGGAGUUGGGCAUGAGGGCAGGACUAAAAAAGAGUGAGUGAAGGAAAAGGUAUGCAGGGAGCAGAAGAGUGGAGGGGUGGCUCGGGGUUUGGAGACUUGCCCGUCAAUUCCCACAACAGAGACUUGGGAGGACUGGGUGGGUCCUGAAAAAUUAGGUAAAGCAGAGUAGGUUGCCCGGUAUUAAAUAAGAAAAAAUACUGGCCUACCUGCCACCAUCAGGGUUACCCUUGUCUUAGAUGAAGCAAUGGUAGUUGCCGGGGCGUCCAUUCCAGGGCCCCAUCAGUCUUCAGUGGCAAGGCCAGUGAGAUCCGAGUAGGAGGUUUUGGCCAGCUCAGGAAGGGAUGGGAGUGGUCCUUGUGGGGGCCGCUCACAGUCCAACUUCCAGUGGGGUCCUCUGCAGAGGGGGCAUGGCCUGAUGGGCUUACCUGGGUUUGGGCAUUGUCUAGACCAGUGGCCUUCAUUGCCAUACUUGAAACAUGCGCCAGGUGGAGGUGGAUUGCUAGGAGGCUUCUGUGUGGAGCUGCGGCCCUGUGGGCCUGCAGGGCCCCGGAUGGCGGAGUCAAGCAUUUGAAACUCUGCAUGUUUUUGCCUUUUAUUUUCCUCAUCACGAUUGUUAAAGACUUUGAAGGCUAAAUUAAGAAGGUCUCGUUGUGGGUUUUGAGAGCCAUCAUCAAGCUUCUGUAGCUUACGCCGAAUAUCGGGGUGGAUUGGGACAUGAACUAAAGGUUUAAAAUAGUGGUUCCUUCUGGGCUGGUUGGGUCUAGGUUGGUAUAUUUUCUCAUGACUUCAGUUAAACAAGAGAGAAAAAGGGCUGUUUUUUCGUCAGGAUCUUGGGGGAUUUCUGAAAGUUUUUCAUAGUUUAUCGCUUUAUGGGCACCCUUUUUGAGUCCUGCAAGGAGACACAAUUGUGGUCUCAAUGGUAGCGUCCAGAGGCCCUGUCUUGAUAAUCCCAGUGGGGGUCCUGGUUGGGGACUGCCUGUGCGCCAGUAGGCUGGGCAGGAGCUUGGUGAUAAAUUGAUCAGCAUGCCCCUGAGCUAGGGUCCAGAUAUGGUCCCGGUCUUCUGGGGUGAGGGUGGAAGAGAGGAUAACGUAGAGGAUAUGCCAGAUUAGUUCAUAAGACUGGGUAAGGUACUGAAACUCCCUAAUAUAAGAGGUCAGGUCUUCUGGAAAUGAACCCAGUCUUUUGUUAAUUUGAGAGAAAUCAGUGAGGGAGAAGGGAACAUGAACUCUAACAAUACCUUCAGUUCCUGCUACUUCCUGAAGAGGGCACUCUAGCACAGGCACUAAAGUAAGGGUGGGGCAUGGCCAAACAUGGCACCUGAACAAGUGUGGAUGGGAGAGAAGGAAGAACCUGGAAGUGGUUCCUGCUGAGUGUUUGAAGGGGAAAGGGGGAUUGAGUUAACAGGUAGUGGAGGAUAGAUAGGGGCGUAAGGUGGUGGGAUGGGUUUACAAGCCUCAGGAGAAGGCAGUAGGGGAGGAGAAUGGGUACAGGCAAUACUAGAAUUGUCCUGAGGAGGGGGCGGUGUAGGAAAAGAAGCAGAUACUGCUGACUGGGAAGAUGGUGGCUGGGAAGAUGGCGGUUGAGAAGACAACGAGGAGGCUUGGGCUAAAGAAGACGAUUGAGAGGAAGAGGUAGGGGUUGGGAGGGGUGGACAGCAGUCUGCUGGAUCUAACGAGGAAAAAGAGGUAGGGUUGGGAGGAGAAAGACAAUCAGGGUGGCAAGAAUGGAGGAGAAGGAUUUGAACAGGUGAGCAAGAAUUGCAGAGGUCGGGUUGUGAUCUGAGUGCAAAAAGGCCUGGACAUAAGGAAUUUCUCCCCAUUUCUCUAGUCGUUGUCAAUAAUUGCUUAACUCAGUUAAAACUGUAAAGUCGAAUGUUCCAUUUGCGGGCCAUUUGGACCCAUUAUCCAAUUCGUAUUGUGGCCAGACUGAAUUGCAAAAAAAGACAAGGCGCUUAGGGUGGAUAUUUUGCCUGAGGCCUAAGGUUUGCAGGUUUUUUAUGGGGCAGCCUAGAGGGCUGUUUUUUGGAAGGGAGGACCGGGAGUUUCCCAUAACAGAGGGUAGGCUCAGGAGAACAGGGAAAAAGGAGACCGUCCUGGACGGCCAGAGGGAGACAAAAGGAGCAAUCAUCAUCACCGCUGCCUUUUUCAUUCCUGGAACGGGAUCAAAUGGAUUAGAGGCGUCUCCCUAAGACCAGGUGAUGGGAUGAUCAGCGAGUACCUGGCACACGCCGGAGCCUUGCUGGACCGACAUUGGAUUUUUGGACCGUAGACACCAAGAGAGGCCAUGUGGCUUUUCCCUUGUUAACUGGGCUCCUAGGGAAACUUACCAAUAGGCAAGGCCAGUGACCAAUGUGCAUGCACAGAGAGGCAACUGGAGGCUGAGGAGCUUCCUUUGUCCUGCUGCUGUGGCCUGUUCUCCAGGGUGGAGGGGUAGGUCCAUGGGGGAUGUGGACCAGAGCCCCUCCCCGGUUUCGGCACUAGAUGUAAGGUUCUUGUGUUGGUUCAAACCCUGAGAGCACGCCAAAAGACAACACGAAGUGGUGUGGAGCAGCAACAUGCUGUUUUAAUGAGCACGUGAGUGCAGGUGGGCUGAGGCCUAAAAUGGCAUCAGCCCCAAGUGAGGACGGUACAGGGGGUUUAUAGUCCUCUGUAAACAGGAAGUGUCCCAGUCUAACAUGACUGCUAUGUAGUACGCGACGGCCUCUUUCUCGAUCUUCAGGGGUACGUGUCUUCUGGCCAGGGAAUGUGUCUUCCGGCUGGCUCUCUUCCUGCUUCUGCUAUCUUGCUGACACACGCUGCUGGUGCAAGUGGCGUUGUGCCUUGGGACUGGGCCUGAGAAGGGGGGAGUUACUCAUCCCUUCAAGCUUUGGGUCCCCGGGGAGAAUCUUUCAAGUAUGAACCUGGCCUUGUGAAAGCAGAGCUCCAGUUACACAGUGUAUCCCGAAUCCAUGAAUGUUAUGAUGGUGCUAAUUUGAACCACUAAGAGGCCUUGUGAGAGUCUCUUCUUUCCCAGAAAAUGUGGGGAACACAGAGAGUGUCUUUCUGGAUAGACAUACCCAAGAAACUUCUGCUGAGGAAAGUGAAAGCAAAGAUACAACUUAUCCCAGAAAGGGGAGUGCAUAUGUAGAUGGUGAUAAGUAAUAUAGCCUGAAAUAUUCACAUGGAUAUAAUUAGAGUUAGGGUUAUAGUUAAGGAGGAAGGGAAGGGAGACAGAAAGAAAGCAAGUAAGAAAGGAAGCAAGAAAAGAUAAAACUGUGUCCAAGUUUCUUACUUGUAUUAAACAGAGUGUUUUUCUAGAUAUUGUUAACCAAGAUAAGGAAUCCCUAAAGAGAGGCAGGCUUGAUUUAGAGCUGUCUGAGGGCUUCCAAAAGAGCUGUUCAGUGAAUAAGAAGGAAUCCAACCAUGGAGCAUCAGAGUCUAAGUUGGAUGUAUAGGUUUGUGUGUCUUCAGUAUUGUCUUGUAUUUUAAGACAGAAUUAGAUGUGCCCAUCAGAAAUGAGUGUAUGGCAUGAAAAAGUUGCAGAUGGUAGGCCGCAGUGAACUCCAAUUGUUUGGAAGGCUUAACUUGAACCUUCCUAGGCUAGAGAAUUUUAAAUGACUGAGAUGUUUCUAAUGUGCCUAGAGCUUCUUUUCUAAUGAGCCCAGGGAGGGCUAGAAUCUCUAUCAGAGUUAGUCUGGGAUGUAAAGGGGAUCAGGAUGUGCCACCCCAAUAUAUGCCACUUUAGCCUAUGGAUUAUUUUGAGCAGUUAAAAAAUUAGAAAUAGCAGGCCUGGUGCAGUGGCUCAUGCCUGUAAUCUUAGCACUUUGGGAGACCGAGGCAGGUGGAUCACCUGAAGUCAAGAGUUCGAG
rnacentral:lncRNA from 1 species